AGUGAACGCUGGCGGUAGGCCUAACACAUGCAAGUCGAACGGCAGCACAGAGGAGCUUGCUCCUUGGGUGGCGAGUGGCGGACGGGUGAGGAAUACAUCGGAAUCUACUCUGUCGUGGGGGAUAACGUAGGGAAACUUACGCUAAUACCGCAUACGACCUACGGGUGAAAGCAGGGGAUCUUCGGACCUUGCGCGAUUGAAUGAGCCGAUGUCGGGUUAGCUAGUUGGCGGGGUAAAGGCCCACCAAGGCGACGAUCCGUAGCUGGUCUGAGAGGAUGAUCAGCCACACUGUGACUGAGACACGGUCCAGACUCCUACGGGAGGCAGCAGUGGGGAAUAUUGGACAAUGGGCGCAAGCCUGAUCCAGCCAUACCGCGUGGGUGAAGAAGGCCUUCGGGUUGUAAAGCCCUUUUGUUGGGAAAGAAAUCCAUCUGGUUAAUACCCGGGUGGGAUGACGGUACCCAAAGAAUAAGCACCGGCUAACUUCGUGCCAGCCGCCGCGGUAA
rnacentral:rRNA from 1 species